AGGAGCACUGUGUUGGGGCCAGGGGAGGAAAGAACUGGGACCUUCUCUCUCAAAGGCUAGAAGAUCUUGGCAGGGCCCUGUUUGCCAGAGGAGGUUUGUUAGAAAUCUCAAUGCACAUGGGAGAAGAGAGGAACGAUUCCAAGGCUGCCACCCCUGAUCCCAGCCCAGGAAAGGAGCAAAGGGGUCAGCGCCGGCGUUUAUCUGUCCGUCCGUCCGUCCGUGGCAGAGAAAGCACUUCUGUCUUCUGCAAAGGAGGAGCAAGCUGGAGAUUUGGACCGGCAGCCAGCAAAGCGUCGCCGAGAAGCUGGGAACUUCCCGUCCUACCGGAAAUGUUGCUUUACCAGAACUAUAUAUAAACAUAGGGAGUGAUGAACUGUGGGGCUGGGGGCCUCUUCGCUGUCCCGAUACAAUCUGGAAACCGUCGGGUGAAGUAAGGUGGGCUUAAGAGGUUCAGUGCAUGCAGGUAACAAUGACGAGACUCUUCCCCUCUUCCCCAAGAGACCCGGUCCGAUGUGCCAUCCAUCCUCUCCUUGGUGGCGGUGGGGUGUGUGUGUCUCCCUCAGAACUACCUUCUCUGUGUGUCUUGGAGGAGAAGUAAAUGGAGGUCAUGCUCUAGAAAAAAACGGAGGUGCCGCCAGGCCCCAGGUGUUUAGUAGUUCAUCCCAAGGCCGCAAGUGAGAUUGGUCCCCCUUGGAGAAAGCAGGGGUCUAUCGGGGCCGGAGGGAAGGAAGCAAUGCAGACGCCGUGGGUGGAUAGCCAAGGCUUCCCUUUGGUGUCUCCAGAAGGUCCCUCGGAGUCUCCAUUGGUCCGUCCCGAGAUCUCAGACCACGGUGCUGACCGAGGGGUCAGAGAGGUUGAGUUGCCCAGCGAUGUCGGUGGGGUGAUACUGCUGCAAGAGACAAACAGACAGACAGACAGGCCGGAUGUUAGGCGGGGCAGGGUCGGCUGCGAGCAGCUGAUGCAACUGAGACGCAGGUCCCGAUGGGAGAUCGCUGAGGGAUGAUGCACGGGGCCCUCUCUGCCCCUCGCUUCGGGCCGCAGCCUGCGCGCGCGGAGUGCCAGUGGAAGGUCCCCUUGCACAGGAUGCAGCCCACGAGGGAAGCCUGGCCAGGGCCGGGCCCAAAGUCUCUUCCCCAGAGCCACCAGGAGUCGGUGGCACUCUCCCACUUAGUUUUAGCACCCUGGGACAUGGCUUCAGUGGCCAGGGAGUGGAGAAGGAUGCAACUCAAAUUAGCCUGGUUUGUAAUAAAUUGGGGAGGUAAUUGAUAAGGGGUGUGUGUAGAGACAAGGCCUCCGGAAGGGUCUCUGCUGUCCCUGCUGGAAGGGGGAGGGCCAGUGCUUGUUCGCCCUCUUGGAGGAAAACCUUUUGGGGAACAAAAGCAGAUCCCCUCAAUUUAUUACUAGGACAUUCAUUAGAGAGUUCAAAGCUACUAGCAAUAGUUCGUGGCAAAAAUAACUUCAAAUUGCCCCAGAUAUUUUUUUUAAAAAGUGCUGCUGUGAACACCUUUU